rnacentral:lncRNA from 1 species
GCUUAAACUCUUUUCUACAGUUGUAGAGAAAAGACAUUUCAAUUACAGUGGGUGUUACUGAAGCAUGUCCAAGUGUACUUUUUGUGUUCUCUAUUUUGUGUUCUUUGUUAUAUGUAGCCUACAGUGAAAGAAGAGACCCUUCACCCCUCCAGUCUGAAAUCACAAGGGAUGAGGAGGGACACACCACACCAUAGGCUGAUGGUCAAAUGGAGGAACUUCAAUCACCAGGACUGCUUGUCUCUACUGGAGAGCAUCAGUCAAGGAGUUGACAACUGAGCUGCCCUGGGGAAGGAAGUGAAGAAACUGGCCUGUUGGGGAUAACACAGGAGAACAUGUGGGCUGAAGUCUCCCUAUGGCAGAGAGGGCAAAAUUAAAUGAAGAUCUCCUGGAUCCUGAGGACAUCAACUCACCCAGCACUGAUGGGAACACCACACUGUGAUUCUUCACCCCCAGUCAAAAAAAGACUUGUUCUUUGCGCAGCUUUUGAAAGAGUCUGGCACCUUUACAUUCUGGACAGCGGAUGGAGAAGUUUUUCAAAAAUCCUCGUUUGCCCUCCGAGACUGACUGGCUUCCCCGCAGCCCUACCCCGCAGGCAGCCCAGCCUCUGCGGAAGGCACCUGCUGUCAUCUCCAAACAGACGAGGAAGGGAGACAUCUAAAGGCAUCCCCGGGAAGUUCACUCUUCUUCUGCCCACGCCGAUCCCAGAUUUCGACCGCCGGUUUGACAGAGGCAAGUAUCCCCGCUGUGCAAAAGCAGACCUAGCACAGAAGCAGAAUAUUUCUGAGAAGCAUUGCGCACAUUCCCUGCAGUCGUGCCAGAAAGGACAGGAGUGUCUAAGCUACAGCCUCAUACUACAGUAUGCUGCUAGCCUCCUAGCUGCAGUUCUUGAACAGUUCUUGAUCUGCACUUCCAUCCUUUCCCCUCACACCCCGAGGUCACUGCUGAAAGGGAAAGUGCAGAUGGAAGCUGAGAUGUAGAGGCACAUCUGACAGGGGACGUGUAGGAGCAUCAGUAACACAUGCAAUAAGCAUUCAAACUUUCAGGAGGCUGCACAGCAUUCACCACUAACAGCAAGCAGGAAGGUGAAAAACAUCUCCUCCACUACAGAGCUGUCAGUGGAAGUGGCUGCCUUCCCAUCAGGAGAGUGCAACACAGAGUAGACAGUGCAUCUUGUCCGUGAGCUGGAACUGAGGCACCCGCUUCCUUCCCCUCACCCUGUCUGAGAUCAAUGGUAGCUCCAAGGCCCAAAGUGCUCCUUUCUUUCUUUGCCAUCAUCGCCACCCAAAGUGCAGCAGGUCAGGGAGCUGCUGGAGAGUGAGGCUUUUUCUAAUUCUUGGGACUGGCAUUUUCAUGACGAAAAGAAAAAAAGUUACAUUUUCAAAUCAAUAUUAGGUGAACAGUUCAGAAUAAAAGCUUUUCCCUUAGAGAUGCA